rnacentral:rRNA from 1 species
UGGGGAAUUGUUCACAAUGGGCGCAAGCCUGAUGACGCAACGCCGCGUGGGGGAUGAAGGUCUUCGGAUCGUAAACCCCUGUCGAAUGGGACGAAAGACUCGCGAGUGAAUACUUCGCGAGAGUGACGGUACCGUUAAAGGAAGCCACGGCUAACUCUGUGCCAGCAGCCGCGGUAAUACAGAGGUGGCAAGCGUUGUUCGGAAUUACUGGGCGUAAAGGGCGCGUAGGCGGCCCUCUAAGUCAGACGUGAAAUCCCCGGCUUAACCUGGGAACUGCGUCUGAUACUGGAGGGCUUGAGUAUGGGAGAGGGAUGUAGAAUUCCAGGUGUAGCGGUGAAAUGCGUAGAUAUCUGGAGGAAUACCGGUGGCGAAGGCGGCAUCCUGGACCAUUACUGACGCUGAGGCGCGAAAGCUAGGGGAGCAAACGGGAUUAGAUACCCCAGUAGUCCCUGAGCGGGCUGGCAAGGCGCAU